rnacentral:rRNA from 1 species
AAAGAAACCAACCGGGAUUGCCUUAGUAACGGCGAGUGAAGCGGCAAAAGCUCACAAUUUGAAAUCUGGUACCUUCGGUGCCCGAGUUGUAAUUUGGAGAGGGCAACUUUGGGGCCGUUCCUUGUCUAUGUUCCUUGGAACAGGACGUCAUAGAGGGUGAGAAUCCCGUGUGGCGAGGAGUGCGGUUCUUUGUAAAGUGCCUUCGAAGAGUCGAGUUGUUUGGGAAUGCAGCUCUAAGUGGGUGGUAAAUUCCAUCUAAAGCUAAAUAUUGGCGAGAGACCGAUAGCGAACAAGUACAGUGAUGGAAAGAUGAAAAGAACUUUGAAAAGAGAGUGAAAAAGUACGUGAAAUUGUUGAAAGGGAAGGGCAUUUGAUCAGACAUGGUGUUUUGUGCCCUCUGCUCCUUGUGGGUAGGGGAAUCUCGCAUUUCACUGGGCCAGCAUCAGUUUUGGUGGCAGGAUAAAUCCAUAGGAAUGUAGCUUGCCUCGGUAAGUAUUAUAGCCUGUGGGAAUACUGCCAGCUGGGACUGAGGACUGCGACGUAAGUCAAGGAUGCUGGCAUAAUGGUUAUAUGCCGCCCG